UCUUCUCUCUCUUCUUCUUGACACAACCUUUCACUUCUCUCCCCCUCUCCAUUCAGCUCAUCUCUCUCAUCCGUUUCUUCCGUCUUCAUAGCCCUGUUCGGAUCAGUAAAGUCCAAUUUCAUUUUUCUUCCAUGAUUUCUCACCUUCUUUGGUCGCAAACGAAGAGUUCCAACACAUUCUUCGUGUGUUGAACACCAAUGUUCAUGGAAAGCAGAAGAUCAUGUUUGCUCUUACCUCAACCAAAGGUAUUGGGAGAAGAUUCGCUAACAUUUGUUGCAAGAAAGCUGAUGUCGACAUGAACAAGAGGUUCAAUUUCAUUAAAGUUUUGUUUUUUUAGUUAUACGUGAUUUGUUGUUGUCCAGGGUUUAGGGUUUGUUUUUUAUUUCAUGAAACUUUGCUUAUAAUUUAUGUUUUCGUAAGCUAGGGUUUGUUCUUUUAUUGUUUAAAAUUUUAUAUUUUUAUUUAAAUUAGUAGUUUUUAUAAUGAUUUUCAUGAUUUUGUAUUUUAUAGUUCUUAUGUCCAAUUGCUUUUCUCUUAUGUUUUUUUUGUCAAAGAAACAUGGGUUGAUGAUGGUUUGUAGGAUGAAACCGGACCAUUCAAGCCUUUUUUCGCACCGAUACCUUACUCCUUAUAAAGCAUCAAACAGUACUUCACCCUUUUGGUAUUCUAUCAAAAGAGCUUCAGCACACAUCAUUGUCUUGGCCUCAUAUUCAGCAUAUGGUAUUGCUCGAUUUCUAUAAUGCUUCAUACAGACAUGCAUAUGUUAAAAACACUGCUGAUUCUAUGAUUUCCAAUGGAAUGAACAUAUACGCCGCAAUACCAAUGGCUUGAAGAAGAUCUACCAAAAGUUAACAGGAAAGAAACUCCUUGGUUGAUUGUUCUCAUGCAUUCACAUUGGUACAAUAGCAACUCUGUCUUUUGAUACUCAGAUGUUGAAAUCAAUACCAUGUUUUUAUGCUUGACUAUGAAUUAUCGUCUUCUCUUGCUUUUAUUUAAACAUGUAUUAACAGGUAUGUAAAAUGUAUUUUAAACAUGUCUAUUUCUUUUAUUUAUACCAUGAUCUAGGAAUAACUAUGUAGAAUGUAUUUUAUGUAAAAGAGAUAUCGCCCAGUCGCUGUGGAGUUGUCGUGAAAUAUACGGUGGAGAACAAAACAGAGAUGCGGCCCAGUCAUAAAUUAUGGAGUUAUAUCAGGCUUCUUGGAACAAAGCUGCUAAUUGUGAAGGGAAGAUAGGUGAUGGAAACAUUCCUCUCACCUUAUCACUUGGAUUUUUUACGGUUUAAAAUGGAGUAAGCACAUGUUUAGAUUCACUUAUUUGAGUUUAUCUAUUGGUAUAACCACUUACGAGUCUGAUUUGAAGAGUUUAUUGCAAUUUUUGUUAUAGAAAUAGCUUAUACGGGACUUAACCUUGAGUAUUAUACUUUCAAUAUCAUCGCAGUGUCGGGUCUGUUUUGUCGAGGUGGCAAGUUUUGGUUUUUCACAGCCGCGGGUAUUUUGGUAUUUCGGUUCUGUUUUGGUUUGUUGGGGUUGUGAUGGUUUGCUCAUAUUUUAGUUUUUUGUUGUUGUAUAGAUUGGUGGGUGAGACUGUGAAACUGUCCAUCUUUUGUAUUUUUUUUUGCUCAUUCUCAACAUUCCUUGUGCUGCUACGAUGAGUAGUUUAUGUAUUCUUUUUGCUGUUUCAAAUUAGAUAAAAAUGAUAUAUGUGUAACUGAUAUGUAGAUAGU